AGUUCCAGCUGAGAGCUUUAUUAGCCGCGCGGCGACAGUCUCAUUCCUCUGCAGAGGAGACUGUCGGAGUCUUGUUCGGCGACCCGAGCCGUUUCCUCCCUUGAGAAAAGAACAAUCUCUUCCUCUUCGUCAGACUGCAAAGGAUCUAAUGCAGCAGCAAUAUGCUGUCCUAAGGCCCAAACUGAUACAGGUAUAUUCUCUCCUUUCUGCUCGGCACCAUGACCACCUGCAGCCGCCAGUUCACCUCCUCCAGCUCCAUGAAGGGCGCCUGUGGCAUGGGUGGCGGCUCCAGCCGCAUCUCCUCCGUCCUGACCGGAGGGUCCUACCGGGCCCCCAGUGCCUACGGGGGCCUGUCGGUCUCCUCCUCCCGCUUCUCCUCCGGGGGAGCCUGCGGGAUGGGGGGCGGCUAUGGCGGCGGCUUCAGCAGCAGCAGCAGCAGCUUCGGAGGGGCCCUGGGUGGUGGCUUCGGUGGGGGAUACGGUGCUGGCCUUGGUGGUGGCUUUGGUGGUGGCUUUGGUGGCGGCUUCGGUGGUGGCUUUGGUGGUGGGCUGGGUGCCGGCCUGGGUGGAGGCUAUGGCGGGGGCGACGGGCUCGUGGGGGGCAGCGAGAAGAUCACCAUGCAGAACCUCAACGACCGCCUGGCCUCCUACCUGAGCAGCAAUAUGCUGUCCUAAGGCCCAAACUGAUACAGGCUUUUCAGCUUUCCGCGUUCCCGAUCCAGAGGUGGAAGAACCUACGCUGCCGUACUUUGAUGAAUCCUCUGCCUCGAGCCCCUCGUCUGGGCGCCACCUGUCGGAGUCUUGUUCGGCGACCCGAGGUAUCGGGAAUGAAAGAAAAAGAAAGAUUGGGUUCAGGGGAUCUGAGAGCAUUGAUUUCUCAAGCUCAUCAGACAAGUUUAUUGAGUUGGGGGGCUAGUAUAUAUAUCCCUAACCUACGUGACAUUCAGCACAAAAUCAAGUUACCUAUUACCCUUACCUCAUACUAUAUUAACUAGUGAUUGAUGAACACCCAACAAACUUUACUGGAACUAUUAUUAUAAGAAUCAGUAACUAUACU
rnacentral:lncRNA from 1 species